AUUCUAUGUUAUGCGAUACAUGCGAGAUGUUAUUGAUAAUAUUGUAUCUGAUCACUCUCUCCCAAUAACUACACUGUUUGCAGGAGGAUGCUACUCCAAAAAGGAAAUUGAUGAAGUAAGGAUAGAGUGGGCAGAAUUUGUAUGUAAAAUCACAGAUGAGUGAUGAUGGAUGGUGUAACUUGCUUGUUUUCGAUGUUUGCAGUUAUGUUGCAAUUAGUAGGAUGAUGAUGUUUGGAUUCUAAUGUAAUGUAGGAUGAUGAUGUUUGGAUUCUAAUGUAAUGUAGGGAUGAUGAUGUUGGAUUCUAAUGUAAUGUAGGGAUGAUGAUGUUGGAUUCUAAUGUAUGAAUUUUAUUAUUAAUUUAUGUAUUUUUAGCUUUUCA